rnacentral:rRNA from 1 species
CAGCAGCCACGGGAAAACGAAGGGGGCUAGCGUUGUUCGGAUUUACUGGGCGUAAAGGGCGCGUAGGCGGACUGAUAAGUCAGGGGUGAAAUCCCAAGGCUCAACCUUGGAACUGCCUUUGAUACUGUUUGUCUUGAGUUCGAGAGAGGUAAGUGGAACUGCGAGUGUAGAGGUGAAAUUCGUAGAUAUUCGCAAGAACACCAGUGGCGAAGGCGGCUUACUGGCUCGAUACUGACGCUGAGGCGCGAAAGCGUGGGGAGCAAAUGGGAUUAGAUACCCCGGUAGUCCCUGUCUCUUAUAC